UUCCGUAGGUGAACCUGCGGAAGGAUCAUUACCGAGUCCACGGGGCUUCGGCCCCCAAACUCCCACCCCUUGCGUACCUUAACCUCUGUUGCUUUGGCGGGCCUGCGCGCCCUGAAAAGGCGCGCUGCCGGCUUCUGCUGGCUCGUGCCCGCCAGAGACCCCUCCAAACUCCUGUUUUUACCGGUGUUGUCUGAGCGUAAACAUGAAUAUUAAAACUUUCAACAACGGAUCUCUUGGUUCUGGCAUCGAUGAAGAACGCAGCGAAAUGCGAUAAGUAAUGUGAAUUGCAGAAUUCAGUGAAUCAUCGAAUCUUUGAACGCACAUUGCGCCCUUUGGUAUUCCGAAGGGCAUGCCUGUCCGAGCGUCAUUACACCCCUCAAGCUUUGCUUGGUAUUGGGCCUUCGUCCGCCAGCGGACGGGCCUCGAAAUCCUCGGCGGCGGCGCCCGGCUUCGAGCGUAGUAGAAAUUCUCAUCUCGCUUUGGAGGCCCGUGGCGUCUGCUUGCCGGACGACCCCCAAUCUUUCUUCUAAGGUUGACCUCGGAUCAGGUAGGGAUACCCGCUGAACUUAAGCAUAUCAAUAAGCGGAGG
rnacentral:rRNA from 1 species